GAAUACCACCGUUGUGUCUUUGAGGUUCUAACCUGGACCCCUUAUCGGGGUCGGGGACGUGCAUGGUAGGCAGUUUGACUGGGCGGUCUCCUACCCAAAAGGUAACGGAGAGCACGAAGGUUGGCUAGACACGGUCGGAAAUCGUGUUGAUAGUGCAAGGGCAUAAGCCAGCUUAACUGCGAGACCCACAAGUCGAGCAGAUGCGAAAGCAGGUCCUAGUGAUCCGGUGGUUCUGUAUGGAAGGGCCAUCGCUCAACGGAUAAAAGGUACUCUGGGGGAUAACAGGCUGAUUCCGCCCAAGAGUUCACAUCGACGGCGGAGUUUGGCACCUCGAUGUCGGCUCAUCUCAUCCUGGGGCUGUAGCCGGUCCCAAGGGUAUGGCUGUUCGCCAUUUAAAGAGGUACGUGAGCUGGGUUCAAAACGUCGUGAGACAGUUUUGGUCCCCUAUCUGCCGUGGGCGCUGGAGAUUUUGACGGGGGG
rnacentral:rRNA from 1 species